rnacentral:rRNA from 1 species
UACGUAGGGUCCGAGCGUUAAUCGGAAUUACUGGGCGUAAAGCGUGCGCAGGCGGUCUUGUAAGCCAGAUGUGAAAUCCCCGGGCUCAACCUGGGAACUGCAUUUGGGACUGCAAGGCUGGAGUACGGCAGAGGGAGGUGGAAUUCCACGUGUAGCAGUGAAAUGCGUAGAGAUCGGGAGGAAGACCGGUGGCGAAGGCGGCCUGCUGGGCAGUUACUGACACUGAUGCGCGACAGCGUGGGGAGCAAACAGG